rnacentral:rRNA from 1 species
UACGUAGGGGGCAAGCGUUGUCCGGAUUUAUUGGGCGUAAAGAGCGUGUAGGCGGCCUGGAAGGGCAGCUGUGAAAACUCGAGGCUCAACCUCGAGACGUCGGUUGAAACCACUUGGCUAGAGUCCGGAAGAGGAGUGUGGAAUUCCCGGUGUAGCGGUGAAAUGCGCAGAUAUCGGGAAGAACACCCGUGGCGAAGGCGGCACUCUGGGACGGUACUGACGCUGAGGCACGAAAGCGUGGGGAGCAAACAGG